CGCUGGCGGCGUGCCUAAUACAUAGCAAGUCGAACGGUCUUUCUAUGGAAGCUGCUUCACUGAGAAGAUAGUGGCGAACGGGUGAGUAACACGUGGGUAACCUGCCCAUAAGAGGGGGAGUAACAUCCGGAAACGGGUGCUAAUACCGCAUAGUUUUCUUGAUCGCAUGAUUGAGAAAGGAAAGACGGCCUUUGUGCUGUCGCUUAUGGAUGGACCCGCGGCGUAUUAGUUAGUUGGUGAGGUAAUGGCUCACCAAGACGAUGAUACGUAGCCGACCUGAGAGGGUGAUCGGCCACAUUGGGACUGAGACACGGCCCAAACUCCUACGGGAGGCAGCAGUAGGGAAUCUUCCGCAAUGGACGAAAGUCUGACGGAGCAACGCCGCGUGAGUGAAGAAGGUUUUUCCGGGAUCGUAAAACUCUGUUGUCAGAGAAGAACAAGUUGGAGAGUAACUGCUCCAGCCUUGACGGUAUCUGACCAGAAAGCCACGGCUAACUACGUGCCAGCCGCAGC
rnacentral:rRNA from 1 species